UGGAUUCCGGCUGCAUACUCCC
rnacentral:siRNA from 1 species